rnacentral:misc_RNA from 1 species
AACGCACAUUGCACCCGGUGGUAUUCCGCCGGGUAUGCCUGUUCGAGCGUCAUUAUAACCACUCAAGCCUGUCUUGGUGUUGGGGAUUGCGAAUCUUGCAGCCCUAGAGUCCAGUAGCGUCACCUGUAGGUCCUAAGCGUAGUAAUUUCUCCUCGCUACAGAGCCUGCUGGUGGAUAGUGUAAAUCCAGUUAAGUCUGUGUGUCCUGCUAUUAAACCCCCAAAUUUUAAAGGUUGACCUCGGAUCAAGUAGGGAUACCCGCUGAACUUAA